ACUCCUACGGGAGGCAGCAGUGGGGAAUAUUGCACAAUGGGCGAAAGCCUGAUGCAGCGACGCCGCGUGGGGGAUGAAGGCCUUCGGGUUGUAAACCCCUUUCAGCAGGGAAGAAGCGAAAGUGACGGUACCUGCAGAAGAAGCGCCGGCUAACUACGUGCCAGCAGCCGCGGUAAUACGUAGGGCGCAAGCGUUGUCCGGAAUUAUUGGGCGUAAAGAGCUCGUAGGCGGUUUGUCGCGUCUGCUGUGAAAUCCCGAGGCUCAACCUCGGGCUUGCAGUGGGUACGGGCAGACUAGAGUGUGGUAGGGGAGACUGGAAUUCCUGGUGUAGCGGUGGAAUGCGCAGAUAUCAGGAGGAACACCAAUGGCGAAGGCAGGUCUCUGGGCCACAACUGACGCUGAGGAGCGAAAGCAUGGGGAGCGAACAGGAUUAGAUACCCUGGUAGGCGUAG
rnacentral:rRNA from 1 species